rnacentral:lncRNA from 1 species
AUGCGAGCUGUCGGAAACUUCUGAUAGAGUUUCCCUUAAGGCGUGCGAACGAUUCGAGGGCUGCUCCUUCUAGAUUCUCGACAAACAGGCGGCAGUAGCCGGCGUCUUUUUCGCCGUCCUUCAGCCUCGCUCUUCCCAUCGUGAUGUGGAAAGCCUGAAGGUGCACCUUCGGAUCGGUCGUACCAUCAUACCUCGGUACUUUGAGUUUUUCCGGAUCGGAUACCCUCAUAUCUGAGAUGCGAGUGG